UAAGGGCAAUGAUCAAGUUAGAGUCUAGCCAAACCAUCCUUUGAUGAUAGCUUUGUUCUUUUAUGCUGUAUACUACUAAGAUGGAUCUCACCCUAGAAUCCCUGUCUCUAGAAACCUUCUGGCCAGGGGAAAUCUAGAAGACCGCAUUGACGGUUCUGGCUACAGCUAGUCCACACAGUGCCUUGAUGUGAGUUUGAAUACAGUGUCCUUCCUAGGUGGAUUCAAACCCUGGAAAUGACACUGUAAGGGGCUGGAAUUUGGUGUCAUUUGUCCCUACUCCACAGUCUUAUGCUGCCAUACUGGGUGAGAUACACAGGCUCACGUAUUUCUUUGGCCUCUUCUUUUCUUGUCGUGCCCCACCCCCAUCACAUGACAUAACCCAGUACUUCUCUGUAGGGCUCUUUUUUGUUCUGGAGUUUUCCUGGCCAGGCAGCACUUGGGAGUGAAACUGGAGGCGGAGGUUUCCAGGCACCAUCCAGUGAGAUUGGGUUUUCUUGUGCUGACAGAUUGGGACUUGGGCCACCAAACAGCCCACAUUGGGACUUUCCAGUAGACCAAAGGGCACAUGUUAAUGCCAAUCUGGGCAAGAAGAGCAUGCUUUGUAAAAGCUCAUCAAUUGAGGACGACUGGACUUGCCCAGUACCCCAGCCAAGAGAAGAAUUUGUCUCCUAGAAACAUAAGAAUUGAGAUGCUUGGCUGGACCCCAUGGCCACUUCAGCUUCAAAGCGCAACUGGCAUCCCCCUGGAGGGUAGCUGAUUCCCAUCUGAUGCAGUGAAAGUCCUGAAAGUCCCCAAGGCCACCUCUCAGUCUCUCCUCACUGGAACAAUAGCCUUUGUCUGCUUUAUUUGAGGGCUUGCUGUGGGUUUGAAGUGAGAUGUAGGCCAACUGGCUGCACAGGUGUGGCCCUGUUGCUGCAGGGAGGAGGCCCGAGGUCACACAGGAAGCUUGCUGUGGAAUGAGCCCUCUGUUUACCAGUCUUUGUCCCUGUGUCCCAGGUUAGAUAUCAGCCAUGAUUAUCAUCGUGGCUUUGUGGCUUUGCUGAUCACACUGGGGAAGAAGUGUAGGUGCUAUUGUCCUAGGAUGGGUCCCGUGGCAACCAGGACACGGAAGGCUUGGAUGUUGUCAGUGACUGGGGGGCAGGGAGGAGCAUUUGAGCCUCGACUCACCUCCCAGAAGCCCACAGAAGUGAGGAAAACUGGGCUCUGACCACAGGUCAGGGAGCUGAGCUCAGUACUGUGAUCACCCAAGACAUCCGAGGGCAAGAGGAAAUAGCUGUUGCCUCUUCUAAGUAUACGGUCCCAUCUUGGGUCAGAAGAACCACCACAGCUCCUUGGAGACCUUUGGCAAUGUCCAGCCCUCUUGCACUGAGAGCUGAGCCCUAGCUGACCCACUCACAGACGCUUCAUGUCCUGGGGCAGCUCCUUCCCACCAAUGGCUAAGGCCUGUAUGUGUGGCUCCCAACCCUCAGUGAAGGGCUGGUCUCCAGCCUUUAUCUCCCAGGACACAAACUUGUGUCUCUUCUGAUAUUUACUCUUUUUAAACUUAAGGACCAAAUGAGACUUCUCUGAUUUUUAUCCGAACAGCCUGUCUUGGGCCUGGUCCAGGCAGCUCCAUAACUUCUGCCCUCCCCGCUCCUGGCCUGAAGCAGCCUAGUGAUGGGGGCAGAUCCACAUCUUGGCCACCCCAAUCCAUGCACACUAGCACCUCCCUCAAUAUCACCAACUUGUUACCCCUAAAGGGAGGUCAAAGUUGAAGCACAGGUCCCUGGGACCCACUGUCUGCAGACCAGGCACACCUCUCAGUGUUCCACACAGCCUGGCUGGGGGCUGCUGCCAGGGGAAACUGAGGAAAGGGGAGAGGAGGGUGAGUCUCCAGCCCUCCCCCCAUUCCUACUUUCUCCAGAGUAACUGCUUUUAACUCUCUUGUCUAUUGAGGUUUCACUUUUAAACUCUUUGAAGAAUAACUUCAAACCACCAUUUUGUGGUUUGGUCUUAGACCAGCAAGCACAGGUUCUCUUUUGGUUUUUAUGUGUUGGGGUGACUCCAGCAUCCUGGCACAGAGACACUUGUUGGGACUCAGGUCAUCUGGUCCAAGCAUUAGAGCACACAUACACUGGUUUUCUAGUUGACCACCCUGCACCUUGGGAAUGAAUUUGAUGUGGGCUGGGUCUGCUGCUCGGGGCUUGGUCCCGAUAGUACGUGUGCUUCGUGGAGACCACGGAGUGAGGAGCCAGGCCCAGUGUCCACUCGGGACACAUUCUCAGGGCAAUGGGAGGAGAACCCAGGGCUGGCUCCCUAUGCACAGCUAAGGGGUGGGGAGCCAGGGUCAUGUAAGAGAUGCACCACCAGGGAGGGCUUUUACGAGGCAGGAUUCCUCAGGCAUUUGAAGCAAGUCUUCCUUCCUCCAGUGAAUCUCCUAAGAUUCCACUUCCACCCCUGUGGAUGUCCAUGUGCACAACAGCAGGCUUUUAUGCCUAAAGAGAGACUGAUCCCCCUUCUGCAGUCCACACAGCUUCUCUCUGCUGGCCUGCACUGCCAUGGGCAUUCACUUGCAGGACAACUCAUUGGUGAGAUUUGGGCUAGCCUUUGGCAAAAAGUCCUGCCUGGGCUCACCUCCUAGGGCAUUCUAGGUGAGGAGCUGAAGCUCAGGGCAUUGUCAAUCAUGGCACAGGGGAAAAGAAUGCCAACUAGUGUUUUAUUCAGUCCAAGUGUGGCCUGGGAGACCCCACUGGCCUCAGGUUCCCCAUGUGUGAAGGGCUAGUACCAGGCUCUGCCCCAAUCACAGGGACUACUGAAAGGGAUAUGAGGGUGAAGAGAGGCCGGAUGAGGCAGCAGCCUGUGUGAGGGGAUAGGGUCUUAGCCUGAGUUGCUGACCCACAUAGCCCACAACAAAUGACAGUGCAGGAUAUCCUGUCUUACGUGGGUAUCUCUGCGCAGUGUUAGGUCCAGUCAUAGGUGCUGCGGGGCUGCCUCUUCCGACCGGUGGGAGUUGAUGUGUGUCCUGGGUGUGGUGUCGAGGGGUGGCUGGGGCGCCCUCAGGCCUGUGACCCUCUGUGAAGUGAUGAUUUGUGUGGCACAUUCAUUCCUGGACCACGUCCAGGUCAACCUGUCGUACCUGUGGCUGCCCUUGUCCCGUGAAGUCAUUAUAGUUUAUUCAGCUGCAACAGGACAAAUGAGCAAAAGAACCUUGAACGAGAGGUCAUUAAAGGCCUUUUGUGAUGGAGG
rnacentral:lncRNA from 1 species